rnacentral:rRNA from 1 species
AUUGAACGCUGGCGGCAUGCCUUACACAUGCAAGUCGAACGGUAACAGGUCUUCGGAUGCUGACGAGUGGCGAACGGGUGAGUAAUACAUCGGAACGUGCCUAGUAGUGGGGGAUAACUACUCGAAAGAGUGGCUAAUACCGCAUGAGAUCUACGGAUGAAAGCAGGGGAUCGCAAGACCUUGUGCUACUAGAGCGGCCGAUGGCAGAUUAGGUAGUUGGUGGGAUAAAAGCUUACCAAGCCGACGAUCUGUAGCUGGUCUGAGAGGACGAUCAGCCACACUGGGACUGAGACACGGCCCAGACGCCUACGGGAGGCAGCAGUGGGGAAUUUUGGACAAUGGGCGCAAGCCUGAUCCAGCAAUGCCGCGUGCAGGAUGAAGGCCUUCGGGUUGUAAACUGCUUUUGUACGGAACGAAAAGCCCUGGGUUAAUACCCUGGGGUCAUGACGGUACCGUAAGAAUAAGCACCGGCUAACUACGUGCCAGCAGCCGCAGUAACAC